rnacentral:misc_RNA from 1 species
UCCGGUUUGGCACCGGCAGUCCCCCCAGAGUCCCCGGCUCGGAUGGUGGUUAAGACCAUCCUCUCCGCUGGCAACUGGGGGCGGGGGUUGCGCUCGUUGCGGGACUUAACCCAACAUCUCACGACACGAGCUGACGACAGCCAUGCAGCACCUGUCACCGGGCCCCGAAGGGGGCCCGUGGUUUCUCACGGGUUUCCCGGUGAUGUCAAGCCCGGGUAAGGUUCUUCGCGUUGCGUCGAAUUAAACCACAUGCUCCACCGCUUGUGCGGGCCCCCGUCAAUUCCUUUGAGUUUCAGCCUUGCGGCCGUACUCCCCAGGCGGGGCACUUAAUGCGUUAGCGCCGGCACCCGGGGGGUCGCUCCCCCAAGCACCUAGUGCCCAUCGUUUACGGCGUGGACUA